rnacentral:rRNA from 1 species
CGUAGGGGGCAAGCGUUGUCCGGAUUUAUUGGGCGUAAAGAGCGUGUAGGCGGCCAGGUAGGUCAGCUGUGAAAACUCGAGGCUCAACCUCGAGAUGUCGGCUGAAACCAUCCGGCUAGAGUCCGGAAGAGGAGAAUGGAAUUCCCGGUGUAGCGGUGAAAUGCGCAGAUAUCGGGAAGAACACCCGUGGCGAAGGCGGUUCUCUGGGACGGUACUGACGCUGAGACGCGAAAGCGUGGGGAGCGAACAGGAUUAGAUACCCUGGUAGUCCACGCCGUAAACGAUGGGAACUAGGUGUGGGCGGUGUCGACUCCGUCCGUGCCGAAGCUAACGCAUUAAGUUCCCCGCCUGGGGAGUACGGCCGCAAGGCUA